AGCCAAUCCGCCAGAAAACCAUGCAAUAUUCAGAAAAUCGUCCAAAUCGACAAUCACAACUUGACAAUUUUUUAUAUAUCAUCUCAAUCCUCUACAUAAAAUAAAAAAAAAUGGCUACUUAAUUUUCGCCAGAAUCAUAUCUAUUUUUAGUAACAGCCUCAUUUGCAUAAUUAUGUAAAUUCAUUCGAAAACCAAGGAAAAAUCCAACUUUUAAUGCCUUUUAAGAACUACCCAGAAGCAUAUUAAAUGGGGGAGUUGAGUUUUUAGAGUAAUGUCAGCUGGAAUCCAUUCAUUUUACUAUGUUCUGGUCAAUACAAAUGAAAAUUUAAACUAUUUGGCACAUUGCCAGGAGCACGGACGCAAAGGCUAGAUUUUUCAUACAUGAAUUUACAUGACUUUUACUUGCUUCUAACUUGCAAGACCUAUUCCAUAUAUGUUUGCAACUUAUAUUAGUUUUAAUUAUGGUGUAUUUUUUAUAAUAGAUUAAAGUAUUAAGCUUGGCAAAUGACUAUUACAUGUUAAUUUUUGCCUUGGAAGAAUGGUGAUUUUAGUCCCAAAUUGGCACAUUUUGAUUUUGAUUUUAAUUUAAUUCUAAAUACAAUUGUAAUAAAAUAGCUAAUAAAAUCAUUUAAAAAAGUAAAAUAAAUGUGUCUAAAAAUUUAAAUAAGACGUUUUUGUACUGCAAGUGCAAAAAUCAAUAAAUUGGCUGAAACCAGGGAGUACAUCUUUUAUGCUCUUCCAUUGACUUAUCUCCCUUGGGCAACAUGUCAGCUCCCAGUGAUGGACUUGGCAGACAAAGUUUACAGCGAAGUUUGCAACUUUAAUAAUCUAGGAGGCUAUCCCAGCAUUAUGCAUCUACAUAUUACAAACUAUUUAAGAUUUCUGAAUGCACUAAAGAACAAAAGAAUAAUUACUGCCAAUGCAAGAAUCUGCCAAAUUCAUGACAAUAAUUUACCAGACAAUAAUCAUAACUUAGUGAAUAAACAUGAUGCAAACUAUGGUGUAGAAUUUCCAACAGGAGUCCUUGUUUUAUAUAAGACGAGGAGUGGUUUAUUUUCCUAUGGUUGUUAUAUCAUCUCGUCUUAGACAUGUUAGAAUAUGCUUGAAGUACAGGGACUUUUAUGGAAUAAUUUCAUUGACAUCAUAGUCAAGCAAGAUGUCAACAUCCCGUCCAACCGUCUUCCAGCAAAGCCAAUUUGAAAGCUGACCAAGGAUCUUCAUCAUUUCCUGACAGGGUGUAUACAGGACGAGUCAUUCCACUAGGAUCAGGACUAUUGUCAUGAUAAUAGAUGCAGGCAAUGCUGAUGAUUUUUGUGAAUGUGACAAUAGCCAGGUCAAACUAAAUACAUGUAAAGAACAAGAUACUGAUCUAGACUCACAACUAACUGAACUUUACAGCAGUCAACAUCAGAUUGGAAGACUGAUAAUGCUUCUGACAGAAACAAUUUCAACCAACCAAACAAGUAACAGAAACUUUGCAUCUUUAAAACACUACUUACAUCUUCCAUGGGAUGAUGUUCCAAAAAAUAACAGUUCAUCAUUAAUGAAGAUUUUUAUGUUAUGGAUUUUCUUUUACAAGAAAGUUAAUGUACACUUGUUUUUAUAGUAAAACCUUGCUGUUCAAGUAUCAAAAAAACAUUUAACUUUAUUGAAAUUUGAAGAUUCAUAUGACUUGUUUUAAUUUUGUUAUUUCUCAGGAUGUCAUGUAGAGGUACAGUCAUGACAGUAAUCUAAACAGCUAUUCAAUUUCAUUCAAAAUUCUUUGAAAAUUUGGCACUAGUAAAUUUAAACUGAAGUAAUUUGUUUUUCGUCUAGUUAUGGGAUUUUUAUGGCCAGUAACAAAGUAGUCGGUGCCUUAAGUUUUACCCUUGUACUAAAAUACCGAUUUUCCGUAAUUCCAUAAUUCAGUCAUUCCGAAACAAACCAUUAAACUGUGUUUUUUUCUAAACGCCAUAGAUAUUGGCUUGAUUUUUGGUAUGUAAGUUGACUAUGAUGAGUUACAGAUCAAGUAUAAGUUUUGUUCCACUCCCCUAAUUUCUGUUGAAAUUACCCGCUAUGGACUUUGAUAAAUUGUUGAAAAUCACAGUUAUAUGCACUUUUUUCCUAAAAGCUUUCAGAUAUUGGGCUGAUUUUUGGUAUGUGAGUUACAGAUCAAGUUAAAGUUUCGUCAUGCUACCCUAAUAUUUGCUGUAAUUUCGGGCUUUGGACUUUGAAAAAUUUUGGAAAAUCUAAGGUAUAUGGACCUUUCUUCUAUUAAAAUGCCUUCAGAUAUUGGGCUGAUUUUUGGUAUGUGAGCUAACCAUGAUGAGUUACAUAUCAAGUUUAAGUUUCGUUCCGCUGUGUAAUUUUUUCCAGAAUUAAGGGUUUUAAACUUUGAAAAUUGUUCAAAAUUCACAUUUAUAUGGACAUUUUUGUAUAUGCCUCCAGAUUAAGAGCUGAUUUUUUAAUAUGUGAGACAACCAUCAUGUUUGUAUCCACAUGUGUUAUUGAAAUUGCAGAUUUUCAAAUUUUUGAGACGUAGCCUUUCGUGUUGCUUUCACACAUCUAGUUUAAGAUACAUUUAUGAUUAUCAUUUUUGUAUUGACUACAUUACAGUAGAUGCAUUUAUGAUUUUCAUGUUUUUAUUGACCACAUUGCAGCAACGUAGAUAUAUAGGUACCUGGCAAAUAUUACCUUGUUAGCAUACUAGGCUCAAAGGGCCAUAAAAAAGUCCAUCUCUUAGUGUCUGUUAAAAUCAUCUCUAUAUUGCAACUGUUUACAGUUUUCUCUUUUAAACCAUUAUUUUAAAAACUUUAGAAGAAGUAUCAUACAUAUAUAUAUAUAUAUAUAUAUAUAUAUAUACAACUCGUCUUAACAUCAACCCAACAAUGUUAGAUCUGUAAAUUUGCUUUCGCAAAUUUUUGGUUCUUCCCUCGCCGGGAUUCGAACCAAUGCUACUGUGAUAUCGUGACACCAAAUCGCCUGCACUGCAGCAUAUAUAUAUAUUGUAAAACUAUCAAAAUGUCAAGAUCUUUUACUACCCAAAAUUUUUCUGUAAAAUUGGGACGUAACAUCUAUGAGCUAUUGUCCCUGAAGUGUGUAAAGGAGUAGGUCCGGUAAGACCCCUUUUUGGCCCCAAAAUAUAACAGUUUUACAAAAUUGUUAAAAUGUAAACUUUAAGUUAUUUAUUGGACAGUUGAAUGCUUCUGCUACAUAAAAAUGGGCUGUUUUUGACAAUACAAUUGACAUAUAUCGGGUUGUAGCACCAUUAAGUCAUGCUAAAUUACUGAAAUCUUCAAUAUUCUAUCAUUUUAGUUAAAUUUUAGACGGUUUCCGUGUUAACGAAAGUGGCCACAUUCGUGUUCAUUCUUAAUAUUGAAAUGUAAGUUGUAUUUUAUGAUAAUACAUAACAUAUAUAAAGGUUGUGGAUGAACACAGAUGCGACCACUUUCAUUUUUGAUAAAAACCAUCUAAAAAGUGACGUUUUUUGGCAUAUUUGAGAGAUUUUGCAUAUUUGAGCAUGAAUCUGAUUGUCUUAAAUGACUGAAUCAGUUAAAAUCUUUCACAUUUACUAAUUGAAUCAAGUGAAAUAGACACUUAAGUGUUUAAAAAGUGGUCAAAAUCUUUCGUCAGAUGAAACUGAAAUUUGAGGCCAAAAUGAGUCCUUACCGGACCUUCUCCUUUACAAAUUUUCAGAGUUUUCUGCUAAUAUCUGACAGCUAUAUCAAUAUGAUAUAAGAAAAUAUUGCAAAAGUGGUCAGAAAAACUUAUUUUUACAGUCUGAACUUAUUCUGAAUUGUUUUAAAUUUAUUGCUAAUGAAUUAUGUGUUUUUUAUCGUUUUGAGGUGCACAAUUUGUCAAUUCAAGCUAUUUCGGCUCCUGGGAGCCUCUAGAUUUGUAAUGAAUAAUUUGUAUUUGUAUAUGAUUUUUUUCUUAAUGUAUUAAAUGAAACCUUAAUUAAUCUUU